rnacentral:rRNA from 1 species
GUCGGGCCGUUCCCCGUUCGGGGGGACAGGGUGACAGGUGGUGCAUGGUUGUCGUCAGCUCGUGUCGUGAGAUGUUGGGUUAAGUCCCGCAACGAGCGCAACCCCUAUUGUUAGUUGCCAUCAUUCAGUUGGGCACUCUAGCGAGACUGCCGGUAAUAAACCGGAGGAAGGUGGGGAUGACGUCAAAUCAUCAUGCCCCUUAUGACCUGGGCUACACACGUGCUACAAUGGUUGGUACAACGAGUUGCGAGUCGGUGACGGCGAGCUAAUCUCUUAAAGCCAAUCUCAGUUCGGAUUGUAGGCUGCAACUCGCCUACAUGAAGUCGGAAUCGCUAGUAAUCGCGGAUCAGCACGCCGCGGUGAAUACGUUCCCGGGCCUU